rnacentral:pre_miRNA from 1 species
UUUUUAGUAUAUGUAUGUCUCAUGUAAUGUUUGGGACAUACAUAUACAAAAA